AACGAACGCUGGCGGCAUGCCUAACACAUGCAAGUCGAACGAAGGCUUCGGCCUUAGUGGCGCACGGGUGCGUAACGCGUGGGAAUCUGCCCUUAGGUUCGGAAUAACAGCUGGAAACGGCUGCUAAUACCGGAUGAUAUCGCGAGAUCAAAGAUUUAUCGCCUGAGGAUGAGCCCGCGUUGGAUUAGGUAGUUGGUGGGGUAAAGGCCUACCAAGCCGACGAUCCAUAGCUGGUCUGAGAGGAUGAUCAGCCACACUGGGACUGAGACACGGCCCAGACUCCUACGGGAGGCAGCAGUGGGGAAUAUUGGACAAUGGGCGCAAGCCUGAUCCAGCAAUGCCGCGUGAGCGAUGAAGGCCCUGGGGUUGUAAAGCUCUUUUACCCGGGAAGAUAAUGACUGUACCGGGAGAAUAAGCCCCGGCUAACUCCGUGCCAGCCGCCGCGGUAA
rnacentral:rRNA from 1 species